AAAAAAAGGAAUAACAGGACUUUGUUUUCUUGUCCCAUCUGCAUAUAAUUAGUUGUACAAUUUUAUCACUUACUUAAACAUUCAGAAGGUCAAACCUGGAAGCAUAUGAGAUACUACGUAGCAGGGAGAGUGAUUUCCUGAUGUUUGACACCUGGCUGUAAGUGUUCAUCACCUGGGCUGCAUGGAUCCAGGCACAAUAAGGAACUCCCUACUGAUUACUAGGGCUGAAGCAAUGGAGAAGACCUUGGCAAAUCUUUUACCCUAGCUUUAGAGGAGGGAGGCAUUUGCUUCAGAC
rnacentral:lncRNA from 1 species